rnacentral:rRNA from 1 species
GAGCAAACAGGAUUAGAUACCCUGGUAGUCCACGCCGUAAACGAUGAGUGCUAGGUGUUGGGGGUCAAACCUCGGUGCCGCAGCUAACGCAUUAAGCACUCCGCCUGGGGAGUACGUACGCAAGUAUGAAACUCAAAGGAAUUGACGGGGACCCGCACAAGCAGCGGAGCAUGUGGUUUAAUUCGAAGCAACGCGAAGAACCUUACCAGGGCUUGACAUGCCCCUGACCGUCCCAGAGAUGGGAUUUCACCUUCGGGUGCAGGGGACACAGGUGGUGCAUGGUUGUCGUCAGCUCGUGUCGUGAGAUGUUGGGUUAAGUCCCGCAACGAGCGCAACCCUUGCCUUUAGUUGCUACCAUUAAGUUGAGAACUCUAGAGGGACUGCCGAUGAUAAAUCGGAGGAAGGUGGGGAUGACGUCAAAUCAUCAUGCCCUUUAUGUCCUGGGCUACACACGUGCUACAAUGGUCGGUACAACGAGCAGCUACCUAGCGAUAGGAUGCAAAUCUCUAAAAGCCGAUCCCAGUUCGGAUUGCAGGCUGCAACUCGCCUGCAUGAAGUCGGAGUUGCUAGUAAUCGCGAAUCAGAA